rnacentral:miRNA from 1 species
AAUUGUGGUGGGUUGACAGUC